rnacentral:rRNA from 1 species
AUUGAACGCUGGCGGCAGGCCUAACACAUGCAAGUCGAGCGGAUGAAGAGAGCUUGCUCUCUGAUUUAGCGGCGGACGGGUGAGUAAUGCCUAGGAAUCUACCUGGUAGUGGGGGAUAACGUUCCGAAAGGAACGCUAAUACCGCAUACGUUCUACGGGAGAAAGCAGGGGACCUUCGGGCCUUGCGCUAUCAGAUGAGCCUAGGUCGGAUUAGCAAGUUGGUGAGGUAAUGGCUCACCAAGGCGACGAUCCGUAACUGGUCUGAGAGGAUGAUCAGUCACACUGGAACUGAGACACGGUCCAGACUCCUACGGGAGGCAGCAGUGGGGAAUAUUGGACAAUGGGCGAAAGCCUGAUCCAGCCAUGCCGCGUGUGUGAAGAAGGUCUUCGGAUUGUAAAGCACUUUAAGUUGGGAGGAAGGGCAGUAAGUUAAUACCUUGCUGUUUUGACGUUACCGACAGAAUAAGCACCGGCUAACUUCGUGCCAGCAGCCGCCGUAAAAC